UUCAGCCAGACACCAACACCCUUCAUAAAGAAAGACAAAGAGAUUAAAUUAGUGUUGACCUUGAGUUACCCUUCCAGGCAGCUUGGGUUCAUGGAAAGUCUUGCCUUGGAAAGAGUUAGUGGAUCAAAAUUUGGGUUUUCAGUUCCCUGGCUCAGCUUUGAUGCUACAAAACACCUUUUGCAAUUGUGGGAAUUGGGAGUCUUGGAUCAGGAGCACAUUAUCCUCUGAUGAAAGAUGAGCAGACAAAUUCUUAGUGUCACAAAUGCAAACUAAGAAGAAAAGAAACCCACAGAGCUUCAACCUUCCUGGCUGAUCCUCCAGAAAAAUUAGCAGGGCAGUUACUUAAGAUGGAUAGAAGGAAAAUCUUUCAUGGGAGUAAAGAGCCAGUGGGACUCACUCACACAGGUCAUGGGAGGAAAAGACACAAAGUCAUUCUUCACACUCUGAUUGGCCAUUAAUGACAAAUAGUAAUUAGCAAUGUAAGUAACCUUUCAGCAGAGCUUUUAAUCCUCACACAUUCAGGCUGUUUGGGAUGGCACUGAGGCUGUUUAGGCUGAAAGCAGCGGGUUUUUAAUCUUUGUGAUUUAGGUAAUAGAAAAGCCACUAUAGGGAAAGAGAAUCUCUUUAUCCAGGUAAGGAAAGGGUCAAAAGUGCAGUAAUCUGCAAAUGCUGUUGCAAUUCAGCAGCUCUGCAUCCUUUAUUUUAAUAUUUAAAAAAAAAUCAGUAUUUUUCUUUCAGUAUCCCAUUUUCAGGAUCUGAUUUUCAUGCAACCUUUAACAUGCUUUGUAAAUCUUCCAGUUCUUUAUUACCCAAGACAUUCUCCUCUUACCACCAUCUGAUUUUUUUUUUCUUAGCAAACUCCUUCUACAGAUGGAGAAUCUUCAGAUUUCAUAAAUCUGGUGGACCUGGGCUGGAGGGAGAAGGAGGAGCAGGCAACAGAAGCUAAAAUGCUACACUGUCCCAGUCUAUCAGGCUUGGCUUGCUGAAAACUGAGAGGUCAGAAGGAGCUGCUCUAAUCUGUGGUAAGUCUGGCCCCACCAUGCUGUCUGGAGAGAGUCUCUCCCUGCAGGGUGAAGGAGUUCAAGUCCAACUCGGAUAAUGAGUAAAAUUAGUUUCAGCAUCUCAAGAACCCUAAAAAAACUCCUGCUCAGAUCCCAUGGAUUGACCUGGCCCUCUCUCCAUGACUGCCGGACCCCAGCAGCUUUGGGGAGCAGUGGUGCAGAGGUGAUCAGAGGAGCUGUGUUUUUCUCCUUCCCACUCCACCACACUCUCACCCCUGCCAGGAGAAUGGCAUCCACCCCACAGAUCUCAGGAUAUCAGCACCGUGGACAAACCACAGCUCCCAGCUGGAUUUGUCCCUCUGUCCCUUUCCACGGCUACCUGCAUUGAAGACAAAAAGCUGAGCCAUGAUCUCUGCAGCUGGCACAGCUGGCAAAUCCUUCUGGGACAGGAGUAAUGCCGUAUCCUCAGGCAUGGGACAGCACCUUUUCCUCUCCCCAUAUAUUCACUGCCCUGUGCAAAGAGGAGAACUGUCCCCACCAGCACAAGGGAGGCAGGGGACAAUGAUGGGCAGCAGCAAUCACUCUCCUGAACACACAAACCUUCACCUUGCUGCCGACCAAAAACCCUGCCAGGGGCUCACACCAACCUCCUCCU